rnacentral:rRNA from 1 species
GAACAAGUACCGUUCGAAUAGGGCGGUACCUUGACGGUACCUAACCAGAAAGCCACGGCUAACUACGUGCCAGCAGCCGCGGUAAUACGUAGGUGGCAAGCGUUGUCCGGAAUUAUUGGGCGUAAAGCGCGCGCAGGCGGUUUCUUAAGUCUGAUGUGAAAGCCCCCGGCUCAACCGGGGAGGGUCAUUGGAAACUGGGGAACUUGAGUGCAGAAGAGGAGAGUGGAAUUCCACGUGUAGCGGUGAAAUGCGUAGAGAUGUGGAGGAACACCAGUGGCGAAGGCGACUCUCUGGUCUGUAACUGACGCUGAGGCGCGAAAGCGUGGGGAGCGAACAGGAUUAGAUACCCUGGUAGUCCACGCCGUAAACGAUGAGUGCUAAGUGUUAGAGGGUUUCCGCCCUUUAGUGCUGCAGCAAACGCAUUAAGCACUCCGCCUGGGGAGUACGGUCGCAAGACUGAAACUCAAAGGAAUUGACGGGGGCCCGCACAAGCGGUGGAGCAUGUGGUUUAAUUCGAAGCAACGCGAAGAACCUUACCAGGUCUUGACAUCCUCUGACAACCCUAGAGAUAGGGCUUCCCCUUCGGGGGCAGAGUGACAGGUGGUGCAUGGU